AGCAGCCGCGGUAAUUCCAGCUCCAAUAGCGUAUAUUAAAGUUGUUGCAGUUAAAAGCUCGUAGUUGAACUUCGGGGUCUACCCAUUGGUCAGGCUUAAUUGUCUGCACUGGUGGGAUGGAUCUCUACCUUCUGAGGAACUUUCAUGCCAUUUAUUUGGUGUGAUUGGAAUCAGGACUGUUACUUUGAAAAAAUUAGAGUGUUUAAAGCAGACUAUCGUCUGAAUACAUUAGCAUGGAAUAAUGAAAUAGGACGGACUGAUUCUAUUUCGUUGGUUUCUAGGAUCACCGUAAUGAUUAAUAGGGAUAGUUGGGGGCAUUAGUAUUCAAUUGUCAGAGGUGAAAUUCUUGGAUUUAUUGAAGACUAACUACUGCGAAAGCAUUUGCCAAGGAUGUUUUCAUUAAUCAAGAACGAAAGUUAGGGGAUCGAAGACGAUCAGAUACCGUCGUAGUCUUGACCAUAAACUAUGCCGACUAGGGAUCGGAUGAUGUUAAUUUUUUAAUGACUCAUUCGGCGCCUUA
rnacentral:misc_RNA from 1 species